AUCGAGGGUGAAAACGCUCCACCUCGGCGAAAGCCGAUACGACCUCGCCGGCUUGCGUUUUGCAUCGGCUUUCAUCGGAUGGGGUAUUGUCGGC